AUACCUACCUGUCGUCGUGAUACCGUGAUCAUGCAGUCGGUUCCACCGGGGUGCGGCUGCUCCAUUGCACUGCGGCGUGGUUGGCCCUUUCGCUUAUUUCUAUAUUUUAUAAGUUCCACUUCUCCCGUGUGUGACAUGCACACAUACACAUU
rnacentral:snRNA from 9 species